rnacentral:pre_miRNA from 1 species
UUGACAGAAGAGAGCGAGCACACAAAGGGAGAAUUGUAUAAAAUUAAUUUGUAUAUGGUUUACUUUUGCGUGCUCAUUCUCGUUCUGUCAU